rnacentral:rRNA from 1 species
UGUGUGUUAGUGGAAGCGUCUGGAAAGGCGCGCGAUACAGGGUGACAGCCCCGUACACAAAAAUGCACAUGCUGUGAGCUCGAUGAGUAGGGCGGGACACGUGGUAUCCUGUCUGAAUAUGGGGGGACCAUCCUCCAAGGCUAAAUACUCCUGACUGACCGAUAGUGAACCAGUACCGUGAGGGAAAGGCGAAAAGAACCCCGGCGAGGGGAGUGAAAAAGAACCUGAAACCGUGUACGUACAAGCAGUGGGAGCCUCUUUUAUGGGGUGACUGCGUACCUUUUGUAUAAUGGGUCAGCGACUUAUAUUCUGUAGCAAGGUUAACCGAAUAGGGGAGCCGAAGGGAAACCGAGUCUUAACUGGGCGUUAAGUUGCAGGGUAUAGACCCGAAACCCGGUGAUCUAGCCAUGGGCAGGUUGAAGGUUGGGUAACACUAACUGGAGGACCGAACCGACUAAUGUUGAAAAAUUAGCGGAUGACUUGUGGCUGGGGGUGAAAGGCCAAUCAAACCGGGAGAUAGCUGGUUCUCCCCGAAAGCUAUUUAGGUAGCGCCUCGUGAAUUCAUCUCCGGGGGUAGAGCACUGUUUCGGCAAGGGGGUCAUCCCGACUUACCAACCCGAUGCAAACUGCGAAUACCGGAGAAUGUUAUCACGGGAGACACACGGCGGGUGCUAACGUCCGUCGUGAAGAGGGAAACAACCCAGACCGCCAGCUAAGGUCCCAAAGUCAUGGUUAAGUGGGAAACGAUGUGGGAAGGCCCAGACAGCCAGGAUGUUGGCUUAGAAGCAGCCAUCAUUUAAAGAAAGCGUAAUAGCUCACUGGUCGAGUCGGCCUGCGCGGAAGAUGUAACGGGGCUAAACCAUGCACCGAAGCUGCGGCAGCGACGCUUAUGCGUUGUUGGGUAGGGGAGCGUUCUGUAAGCCUGUGAAGGUGUGCUGUGAGGCAUGCUGGAGGUAUCAGAAGUGCGAAUGCUGACAUAAGUAACGAUAAAGCGGGUGAAAAGCCCGCUCGCCGGAAGACCAAGGGUUCCUGUCCAACGUUAAUCGGGGCAGGGUGAGUCGACCCCUAAGGCGAGGCCGAAAGGCGUAGUCGAUGGGAAACAGGUUAAUAUUCCUGUACUUGGUGUUACUGCGAAGGGGGGACGGAGAAGGCUAUGUUGGCCGGGCGACGGUUGUCCCGGUUUAAGCGUGUAGGCUGGUUUUCCAGGCAAAUCCGGAAAAUCAAGGCUGAGGCGUGAUGACGAGGCACUACGGUGCUGAAGCAACAAAUGCCCUGCUUCCAGGAAAAGCCUCUAAGCAUCAGGUAACAUCAAAUCGUACCCCAAACCGACACAGGUGGUCAGGUAGAGAAUACCAAGGCGCUUGAGAGAACUCGGGUGAAGGAACUAGGCAAAAUGGUGCCGUAACUUCGGGAGAAGGCACGCUGAUAUGUAGGUGAAGCGACUUGCUCGUGGAGCUGAAAUCAGUCGAAGAUACCAGCUGGCUGCAACUGUUUAUUAAAAACACAGCACUGUGCAAACACGAAAGUGGACGUAUACGGUGUGACGCCUGCCCGGUGCCGGAAGGUUAAUUGAUGGGGUCAGCGCAAGCGAAGCUCUUGAUCGAAGCCCCGGUAAACGGCGGCCGUAACUAUAACGGUCCUAAGGUAGCGAAAUUCCUUGUCGGGUAAGUUCCGACCUGCACGAAUGGCGUAAUGAUGGCCAGGCUGUCUCCACCCGAGACUCAGUGAAAUUGAACUCGCUGUGAAGAUGCAGUGUACCCGCGGCAAGACGGAAAGACCCCGUGAACCUUUACUAUAGCUUGACACUGAACAUUGAGCCUUGAUGUGUAGGAUAGGUGGGAGGCUU